UUUUUCUAGUUUAAAAUUUUUUCUAUUAAGAACCCAACAAAACUCAUAUCUUUUUUCUCUUAAUUCUUAAUUUUUUCUAUUUAGGAUAUCUAAAUUGAAUUGAUUUUGUGAAUUAUGUGGGUGGAUGAAAAAUGAGAUAGAGGAAUGAAAGAACAAAAAAUAUGCAAAAUCUAGAAGUUGAUCGGGAUGGAAGAAAAGGGCUA
rnacentral:lncRNA from 1 species